rnacentral:misc_RNA from 1 species
AAUCAUUUGAGAACGCACACAGGAGAAAAACCUCACAAGUGUGAAAUUUGUUUUAAGCAAUUUACAGAUGCAGGUAAUCUAAAAACACAUUUGAGAACGCACACGGGAGAAAAACCUUAAAGUGCGAAACUUGUUUUAAAGAAUUUUCUGUAUUAUCAAAUUUAAAACAACAUUUGAGAACGCACACGGGAGAAAAACCUCAUAAGUGUGAAAUUUGUUUUAGGGGGUUUUGAGAACGCACACAGGAGAAAAAUCUCACAAGUGUGAAAUUUGUUUUAAGCAAUUUACUGAUGCAGGUAAUCUAAAAACACAUUUGAGAACGCACACGAGAGAAAAACCUUACAAGUGCGAAACUUGUUUUAAAGAAUUUUCUGUAUUAUCAAAUUUAAAACAACAUUUGAGAACGCACACGGGAGUAAAACCUCAUAAGUGUGAAAUUUGUUUUAAGCAAUUUACUGAUGCAGGUAAUCUAAAAACACAUUUGAAAACGCACACGGUUGAAAAACCUUACAAGUGCGAAACUUGUUUUAAAGAAUUUUCUGUAUUAUCAAAUUUAAAACAACAUUUGAGAACGCACAGAGGAGAAAAACCUAACAAGUGUGAAAUUUGUUUUAGGGGGUUUUCUUGCUUUAGCGCAUUUAAAAAAACAUUUGAGAACGCACACAGGAGAAAAACCUCACAAGUG